rnacentral:rRNA from 1 species
AACGAACGCUGGCGGCAUGCCUAACACAUGCAAGUCGAACGAGACCUUCGGGUCUUGUGGCGCCCGGGUGCGUAACGCGUGGGAACAUGCAUUUAGGUUCGGAAUAACUAAGAGAAAUUUGAGCUAAUACCGGAUGAUGUCUUCGGCCCAAUGAUUUAUUGCCUUUGGUUGGGCCCGCGUUGGAUUAGCUAGUUGGGGUGGUAAAGGACUCCCACGGCGACGAUCCAUAGCUGGUCUGUGAGGAUGGUCAGCCACUCUGGGACUGAGACACGGCCCAGACUCCUACGGGAUGCAGCAGUGGGGAAUAGUGGACAGCCGGCUGAAUCCUGAUCCAGCAAUGCCGCGUGAGUGAUGAAGGCCUUAGGGUUGAAAAGCGCUUUUACCCGAGAUGAUAAUGACAGUACCGGGAGAAUAAGCUCCGGCUAACUCCGUG